CUGGCCCGGGAGCUUGGCAUUGCCGAAAGCAGAGUUCAGGUCUGGUUCCAAAACCAACGCAGAAGACGGUCAAAGCAGAGCCGAUCGCCGCCGUCUGAAUAUGUGCACCGAGAAGGGGAAGCGGGGCCAACGUCCACGCCCACGCCACCGUCGCGCCCGCCUCGACCUCAGUCUUCCUCUCCAGGAGACUCGGCCCGAGAGGCCCGGAGAAAGAGGACCGUCAUCUCUCCUUCCCAAACAAGCAUCCUUGUGCAAGCCUUCACGAGGGAUCGCUUCCCGGGGAUUGCCGCCAGGGAAGAACUGGCUCGUCAGACGGGAAUCCCAGAACCUCGA